CCUACGGGUGGCAGCAGUGAGGAAUAUUGGUCAAUGGACGAGAGUCUGAACCAGCCAAGUCGCGUGAAGGAUGACUGCCCUAUUGAUUGUAAACUUCUUUUAUAUGGGAAUAAAAUGUUCCACGUGUGGGAUUUUGUAUGUACCAUAUGAAUAAGGAUCGGCUAACUCCGUGCCAGCAGCCGCGGUAAUACGGAGGAUCCGAGCGUUAUCCGGAUUUAUGGGGUUUAACGGGAGCGUAGGUGGAUUGUUAAGUCAGUUGUGAAAGUUGGCGGCUGAACCGUAAAAGUGCAGUUGAAACUGGCAGUCUGGAGUACAGUAGAGGUGGGCGGAAUUCGUGGUGUAGCGGUGAAAUGCUGAGAGAUCACGAAGAACUCAGAUUGCGAAGGCAGCUCAAUGGACUGCAACUGACACUGAGGCUCGAAAGUGUGGGUAUCAAACAGGAGUAGAUACCCCUGUAGUC
rnacentral:rRNA from 1 species